rnacentral:rRNA from 1 species
AUGUCCCAUUCACCAAAGGUUCUAGUUGACACAACAUGCAACGUUUUCUCCAACUUCCAACAGGUGAGCCUGCAGCACAAGGAGCAGCUGGUGGAGUCUUCCGAGCUGAAUAUUCCUGGAGCCAGGCUAAGAUCCGAGUCAAGAGCCACACGCACCUUCUCUCUCGAGCACACAACCUCUUUUUCCCUCUCCAAAGAUCUCUCUCCUUUGACUGGAUCGGCUCGCCCGCUCGACCGCCAGGACCAUGUCGCUGCCGAGGCCGGCGCCCGCCAGCGACGACAGGUUGGAUCUGGACGGUGUGCUCGUAGCGCCUCUCACCAUCUGCAUGAGCGGGGCGGUGGAUUCAUCUGCGAGCACCUCAUGGCCGAGACCCCGGACUCCGUCCUCGCCGUCGACGUCUACUGCUACAAGAUCCGCCGCCUCGUCGACCCACCCCCGCCCCACCUCGCCCGCUGCAGCAACUUCCACCUCCUGAACGUCAAGAACAACUCUGGCCUGGAGGGCCUCAUCAAGAUGGUCGAUCUGAGAGGAAGUGGGAUCAACCUGCAGAGGAUUUGGUCGCCGCGGCUGCGGCGGCGAGACUGCCCAUCUUUCAAUUCCGUGGCACUACUGCAUAUCCUGCCGCCAUCGCUCGUUCCACCGGUGCUUCAGAGUGCUGCUGCUGCUGCUGCUGCAAUUCAGAAACUAAGUCAGGCAAAACUAGUGGCUGAGCUUAUAGCACGAGAAAUUGUUAUAAAUGAUGCUGAUCAAUCUGUACGGCAUAAGCUCACGAAACGGCAAACACAAAACGAGGCAGUCGAUCCCAACAGCAGAACAGCAACUAUGCUCGAGAUAGCAGGGAGGCUGUCCAAGCUAGAAAAUAAAGGAUGGAGGCCAAGGCGAACAAUCAUCGUCUGCAAUUGGGAUGCAGAAGAGUUUGCGCUGACAUGUCAAUGUUUGGGCCUGGAAGUCUUAUGCCCCGUGCAACACGACAACUAUGAAUUAAUCAAUGAAGCAAGCAGAAUGGUACCCGAUCCUGAUGAUCCGUCUCAUACCUUAGUGGCCGGUGCAGGAACAGAUUUUGCAGCUUUUGUCGAGCACAUUGGAGUCCCUUCACUUGACAUCUCUUAUGGAUUAUUUUCAGAAUACCCUGUCUACCACUCGCUAUACGAUGAUUUUGAUUGGAUGGAGCAGUUUGGAGACCCUUUGUUCCACAGACAUGUAAUGAUGAGAUCAUUCCCUUCAAUUAUGUCCCCUACGUGUCUGAACUGGAGGUAUUUUCUCUUCUGGCAACUGAGAUAG